rnacentral:tRNA from 1 species
GGGCCUAUAACAUAGCCUGGAUAGUGUAUCCGGCUUCGGACCGGAAGACGCAGGUUCAAAUCCUGCUGGGCCCA